rnacentral:lncRNA from 1 species
AAGAAUAAGCGUUUUAUGAAAGGUGGCUAAAAGGAAGCCAAGAAGAAAGGGGUUGAUCCAUUUUCUAAGAAAGACUGGUAUCACGUGAAAGCACCUGCUAUGGUCAGUAUAAGGAGUAUUGGAAAGACACUAGGAUUCAAGGAACAAGAAUUGCACCUGAUGACCUUAAGGGUCAUGUGUUUGAAGUGGGUCUUGCUGAUCUGCAGAAUAAUGAAGUUGCAUUUAGAAUAAACUAGCUGAUUACUGAAGAUGUUCAGGGCAAAAACUGCCUGACUAACUUCCAUGGCAUGGAUCUUACCCAUGACAAAAUGUGUUCCAUGGUCAAAAAAUGGUAGACCAUGACUGAAGCUCAUGUCAAUGUCAAGACUACCGAUGGUUAUUUGCUUGGUCAGUUCUGUAUUGAUUUUAUAGAAAAUGCAACAAUCAGAUACAGAAGACCUCUUAUGCUCAGCACCAACAGGUCUGUCAAAUUCAGAAGGAGAUGAUGGAAAUCAUAAACACAGAAGUGCAGACAAACGACUUCAAAAAAGUGUUCAAUAAAUUGAUUCCAGACAACAUUGGAAAAGACAUAGAAAAUGCUUGCCAAUCUAUUUAUCCUCUUCAUGAUGUAUUCAUUAGAAAAGUAAAAAUGCUGAAGAAACCCAAGUUUGAAUUGGGAAAACUAAUAGAGUUUCAUGAUGAAGUUAGUUGUUCUGGAAAAGCUACUGGGGACAAGACAGGUGCUAACGUUGAAUGAGCUGAUGGAUAUGAGCCACAAGUCCAAGAAUCU